rnacentral:tRNA from 1 species
GCAUUGUUGCUUCAACGGUAGAAUUUUCACCUUCCAUGUGGGAGACCUGGGUUCAAUUCCUGGUCAAUGCA